UCCCUAUCAACUGUCAAGUACUGCGUCGUGGAAUGUUUAUGGCUUGUCGACGUCGUAAUUGUUCGUAAUGUUUGGGAAAUUUUCCGUUAAAAAUGUCGUUGUUAAAAGAAAAGAAGAAGAGGCACGAUACAUACUGUUUUAUUUGUGGAUGUGUUGAAUAUGACGAAAACUAUGUCGGUCAUGAGGAUUGGGAAAAAUUGAUUCCCAUGUCUGGGUUUCUACUUACAAAUUGGCUCUGUGGUCGUAAUUUUGGCAUCAAACCUCAGGAUGAUCUUCUUUCGAAUCUCUUAGUGCUCCCAAGCUAAGAGAGUUAGGCCCAGUAAAAGUAACCUGUUUGCUGAUUGCUACAAUGGAAAUCAUCGCUCUCAUUUCCAAAGCUUCAAAGAAAGACAUACCCAUAAAUUCAACUAGUCCUUCUGAACACUGUGAUGGAUGAUUCUCAUCUCGGCACAAGGAUUAGCUUCUCUCAACCUGCUCAUUUAUCCUACUUAACUCUCAACUGAACACAAAACUUCAAGCAUGAGCUCAUCCCAAAAAGACUUGUUAAGAGAACAACUAAUCUUUUCCAAAGUAAGCUCUGAAGAAGCAAUUCAACAAAUGAGCCAACAGCUAUCCACUUCUACACUUGAGAAAUGCCCAUAAACGGCGUGGAAACCUUCUUGCAAGGUUGUCGAAAAAUGCAACUCGAAGCAAAGGUGAGGGGAAGCGGAGUUUCACCCGACAAAACUCUAAGCGUGUCGAAGUUAAUUCACGACGUGUCGGAGUAAAAUCGACCCCUGUCGGAGUUGUUUCGAGGUCUUGUCGGAGUUGAGUUUUGUCGGGUGAAUGUACCCUUGCCAAGGUGAGUGAUAUGCUCACUUUAUAUGGAAUCACUCAAUUUUUCGGUUGUCGAGAGGAUAUGAAAAUGCCUUCAAAAAACAUUUCUAAAACUUUUAAACCUAAAUUGGCAGAUACAUUAUGUUCUGCACCAGUCCAUUUCCAAUUUGCCACUUCUACAUAGCAUUCUUCGAAUCUUUUGAGUGUACUAUUGUUUUUAAAAAUAUAAAUUUU